rnacentral:lncRNA from 1 species
GUCGCUUGCGCGGGGGCCGAGGACUGGGGGCUUCAGGCCGCCCCGCUGGGCCCCGGAGCUAGCGCUCCGUUUGUGGCCUCCCGACCGAGACUCGCUCGCCCGCUUCCCCGAGCCGGGGUGAGUGUGGCCCAGAGAGUGGAGUCUGUACCACCACGUUCUGGCUCCGCACGGAGACGCGGGCGCGUCGCGGCGAGCGUGGGUCGCACCAGGAAAGGGCGGUGAACGGCGCUCCGAGACCGCGGACGUCACGAGGCAAGAUGUCUAGAGCUUGAAUAAAACUCGAGUCUUCCAGAGCUGGGAGCGAAUGUGGUUUUGGAACUAGCCAGAUGGAGUGUUCUUGAAACUGGACCUGUGGAUUUGCAGAGUUCGGUCCAGCGGAUCUGCAGGAGAGGUCAUUGUAGCCAUAACGAGUAACGGGGCCGCUGUCAGAAGUUCUGUUUCUCUUGAAAUUGAAUCUGCUGUUCGGGAUGCAUCACUGACUUUGGUCUUUUAAUGCAUUGUUCUCUUUUGCGGGGGAUUAGGUCCACGUAGAGGAUCUCUAGGCCGCAGCGUGUGUGCCAAAACUCCCAUUCUCCUACCCCACUCCACCUUUCCUAGUGCUGAGAAUCUAAAUGGUGCCAACCAACACUGGGCUGUCUAUCACCUGUAAAUAUGAACACAGUCCCCAGUUUUGCUGGUAGGUAAUACAUGCAAUUAUUUUUUUUUUCAGAUACUCUAUUUUGUGUUAGACCAAAAAAGUAAAAACGUUGACAUCCCAGUGUAACCAGGAAUUGAACCAUGCUAUGCCAGUGCUCUACCACUGAGCUAUAUCCUCAGAACAUUUUAUAGUUUUCAUUGAGACUGGGCCUCACUGUUAUCCGGACUGGCUUUGAACUUGUGAUCCUUCAGCCUCAGUCUUAAAGGUAGCUGAGAUAACAAGCCUGCUCCAUGAAGCCCAGUUCUGCUUUUUUCUGAGGUACUGUAUCCAAAAGUUCAACUAUGAAAACCUCAGAUGGUCAAAUUUAGAUGACAAGGGAAUAUUUUAAUGUAGUCGCUGCCACUGCUUUAGCUCUGUCGUCAUAGUAAAAAUCCCUAAUGUGGCUUCAGCCCCACUAUGCUGUUGGGAUCGUCCUACAAAUCAAGGUCCCUACCUUGUGCUUUGGUAGGUAGGUACAAUUUUAAGACGUGUAAUUCAAUGGACUAUGUCUGCUAAUUUGAACCAUUAAAAAUAUUUUAAGCACAGAGAGCUGGAGCUGCUUCUUGAGAGGGCUAAGUCACCGCACAAGCCAGGGUGCAGUGAAAAGACCCUUGGGAAAGAAGCAGAGGAGCGGAGGCCAGGCCAGGCCAGGGCCUAAACUCAGGCCUCCAACCUGGAGCUAAGUCUGGGAGAGCACCAGCAUUACCAACUUUGCAAUGAUGAGAUGCAGUUAUUGUGUAAUACUUCCAACUUUUAAAAAUCAGAAUUACCUUUGGGACACUUUUUAUAUUAGGUCAUUCUUUUUUAGAUGUUAGAAAACUAUCUAGAAUGUAUAUUGUUCACAAGCAUUGAUGUGAAAACAUUUGUUUUUGGAAAUAAAUGCAUUGAAGGAUGCAUUGAAAAGCUGGGGAAUCUUGGCAUAUGAUCUAGGUAGUUUUCAAGAGGCAAAGCCAACAUUUGCCAUCUUUGAAAUAGCUGAACCUCAUAUCGCCCUGUGUGCACAGCAUCCUACCAUAUACCUGUUUCCUGUUGGCUAGUUUUGUGUUUGAAUGUGUGUGCCACGGGUGCCUGGUGCCUCCGAAGGGCAAAGGAGGAUGUCAGAUCCCCAGGAACUAGAGGUACAGAUGGCUGAGUCACCAUGUGGAUGCUGGGGACUGAACCUGGGUCUUCUGCAAGACUAGCGGGUGCUUUUCUUUUGUGUUGUUUUUGUUUUUCCAGAAAGGGUUUCUCUGUGUAGCUCUUGCUGCAUUGGGACUUUGCUCCAUAGACCAGAGGCUGGCCUUGAAUUCACAGAUCCACCUACCUACCUACCUCUGCCUUCCAAGUGCUGAUUAAAUUAAGGUCUACCAAGGCCCAGCUAAAUAGCAAGUGCUCUUAAUAACCACUGAGCUAUCUCUAGCCCCUGGCUAUAUGGUUGGUUUUAAUUCACAAAAUUCUACUUGGAUUCUACACUGUUUAUUUUGUAGAAGUGUUAAGUUAAAUGAAGGCAUGUAUUAAACAGCACUGGGACCC